rnacentral:sRNA from 1 species
GCCAGGCGCGGUGGCACCUGCCUGUAAUCCCAGCGGCUUGGGAGGCUGAGACAGGAGGUUCCUGAGUUCAAAGCCAGCCUUAGCAAAACCGAGGCACUAAGCAACUCAGUGAGACCCUGUCUUUA